rnacentral:lncRNA from 1 species
UAUCUGACACUUCCCCUCUCAUUCUUACAGCUUUUCUAGCUCCUGACACCAUACCCAGUAUUUUAACCACUUACCUUGCCAGCUAUUUUCCUGGCUCAAACCAUGUGAUGUAGAUAAUAAGAGUCAAGUACUCUGCAUGGGGCCUUGGAUUUGGAUGUUGGGGAGCAUCCUGGAUCCUUGCCUAGGUCUGGACAUCUCUCCUGUCCUGCCCUCCCAGCUUUGUCCUAGCAUCGGCUCCACUCCCAACUUCAGGACCUCAUGGUGAUGUGCAGUUCUAAUAUACCUAACAAGAUAUCAGUCCAGGCUACCAAACCACAUGUUGGUCACCCCUGAACCAGCUAAACAAGAUGUUUGCUUCUCACAUUUGCUCCUGUUAGGCUAAAAGGGGUCAUAGUGCUGGGCACAUAGCAGGUACUUGGUUAAUAUUUAUUUCAUGAAUGGAUGAAUAAGCCUUAAAUUCAUCGCCUCCUUCUUACAUUAUUAAAGUCAGCCUCCUGGGCAAUAAGACCUAAAAAUACAACCAAAAGGAGGGAAACUGGAGAUAUCGCCACAGACAUUCCUUUUGGUUCGGCAUCCACAUGGCAAACACAAUCUCCAGAACGGUGCAGUGAUGGCAUUGGAUGUGCCAGCCAGUCUUCCCUGUGGAUAUGAAGGCCAAUCUUGCAGAAACUGAGAAAACAUGGCUGGCAAAUCAAUAACCUCUGGUCUGGGGAUCAAGAUAAUUCAAGAAGAAGAAGAGAGUGUGUGUGUUUUCCUCCAUAAGUUUCCUAAGCAAUUGUAUCAGUCUAUCCCCACUUAUAGGUACUUUGCAAUGGUGUCCUUUCAUAAUCAGAGAGUCACAGCCCCACGUGUGCCUUCGGGAGUUCUAACGCUGCUGUUGGCCACAAGUGGGACCCGGAGCAAUUCGUGUACAUUUUCAGGAUCUCAAUUUUCCCAUCUUUAAAAUAAAAGAAGGUCCUUGAUCAUUAGAAAAGGGGGAAAGGAGGAGGAUUAUUAGUCUCAGAACUCAAUGGAAAAAUAAAACUUAAUGAAAAGAUGGUAUAAGAACCUUUCUGCUCUAAACUUCCAUGAGUUUAUGUCCACGUUUAUAUAUUGGCUUGAGCAUGAUCUACUGUUAAUGAUUAUGUGCCACCCUUAAUGGGACAAGAUGUACUUUCGACACUGCCCUUCCA